AAGUCGUAACAAGGUUUCCGUAGGUGAACCUGCGGAAGGAUCAUUAUCGAGUUUUGAACGGGUUGUAGCUGGCCUUUAACGAGGUAUGUGCACGCCUGGCUCAUCCACUCUCAACCUCUGUGCACUUUAUGUAAGAAACGGUGUAAGCCAGCUAUUUAUUAGUUGGUAACAAGCCUUUCUUAUGUUUACUACAAACGCUUCAGUUAUAGAAUGUUUACUGUGUAUAACACAAUUAUAUACAACUUUCAGCAACGGAUCUCUUGGCUCUC
rnacentral:misc_RNA from 1 species